rnacentral:sRNA from 1 species
UUAUAGCCCUGAUAGCGCCAAAUAGCUCGCAACGAAGUGAAGACUAUGGGCAAUAGCAGGAAAAUGG